CCCACGCAAGCCCAGCCCCUGGAGAAACCCGGCCCGAGGGCAAAGAGCCCGACCCCUUCUGGACUUUCUAGCAGCUGGGACUUGUCGCUGUGGGUGGCAGGUGUUUGGCACCGGAUGGGCCACCAUGCAGAGACUGUUGGGGACUGUGGAAGCCUUCUCCUCCAGAGCUCACCCUGCCUGGGCACCAGCUCUGCAGGCCCCUCAGCCCUGGGUAUGUAUCGGCCAGCCCUUCCCCGCGACGGGGCCCAGAGGCCAGAGCCUGCCCAGAGCUGAGUGCAGGAGGCACCCAGAACGUGCCAGGCUGUGGCCCGCCUCCUCCGUGGACCUCCCCAGCUUGUCCGUGAGCCCUGGAGACAGGAGCACCUUCUCCAGGGCUGCUGAGCUGCCAGCAUCACCAUGAGCCAGGCGGUGAAGGUUUCUGAGCAGGGGAUGCAGAGCCCUGACCCGACUGGAUGCUGCACCCCACGAUGUCCCUUCCUGGCAGCUCGAGAGAGGCUAUAUUCAUCUGUGUUAAUCACUGCUGUGUUUCCUGAACAUGCCUAGAAAACAUACUGAAGAAGGGUGCCUGAAAUUUGACUUUUAGAAAUUAAAACUCAAGUUAAAAAGUGAGUGACGGGCUUCCCUGGUGGCUCAGUGGUUGAGAGUCCGCCUGCCGAUGCAGGG